rnacentral:rRNA from 1 species
UUGAAUCGCUAAGGGCUCAAGAAGAACGCUAGACUAUAUGCUUUUAAAAGUCAAGGUUCUGAUAACGUUGUUCCCUUGUGUGUAGCUAGUUCAUUGAAGUUGAUUUAUGGAUGCUCCUAGCUCAUAGGUAGUCUUGUUUCACACAUGAGCGUGGAAUGAUGUUUGUGUAAGCAAUGUGUGGCGAACUGGUGCGUAAGGUCGUGGAACUGUCGCUGAAAUUAUUAGUUCGUGCUAUAUCGAUUAGUAUAAGCUAACGCGGCUGUUUUGAUGAAGCCUGCGUAGUAUUUAGUAGUUUGGUAGCGUAAGGCUGACCACCGAUGAUGCUUAGCUGGUCUUUUCGGACGAUCAGCCACACCGGGACUGAGACACAGCCCAGACUCCUACGGGAAGCAGCAGUGGGGAAUUUUACGCAAUGGGCGAAAGCCUAACGGAGCAAUGCCGCGUGCAGGUAGAAGGCCUACGGGACCUGAACUUCUUUUCCCACAGAAGAAGCAAUGACGGUAUCUCGGGAAUAAGCAUCGGCUAACUCUGUGCCAGCAGGCGCGGUAAAACGGGGGGGGGAAGUGUUCUUCGGAAUGACUAGGCGUAAAGGGCACGUAGGCUGUUCAUCGGGUUGAAAGUGAAAGUCGUCAAAAAGUGGCGGAAUGCUUUCGAAGCCACUGAACUUGAGUGAGACAGAGGAGAGUGGAAUUUCGUGUGGAGGGGUGAAAUCUACGGAUCUACGAAGGAACGCCAAAAGCGAAGGCAGCUCUCUGGGCCUCUACCGACGCUGGUGUGCGAAAGCAUGGGGAGCGAACGGGAUUAGAUAACCUGGUAGUCCAUGCCGUAAACGAUGAGUGUUCUCCCUUGGUCUAUUCUGAUCUGGAGGGGGGGGGAUCGUACUUUUUAUUAAUCUAAGCGUUAAACCACUACCCCCUGGAGGGUCGGUCGCAGACCGAAACUGCAAAAGGAAAAUUGACGCGGUACCUGCACGGGAGCAAUGUUGGUUUAAUAUCGACUACACGCCAGAACUUACCAGCAUUGACAUAUGACGAGACCUAUCCUUAAACGGAUGGUCUAAGACUUUCAUACAGGUUGACUGCAUGGACUGAUCGUCAGCUCGUAGUCGUGGAUGUUUUUGGGUUAGUCGCUAUAACGAAAGCGAACACUCGCGUUGUGUUGCUCAGACAUGCGCCUAAGGAGAAAGUUUGUGCAAACCGAAGUAAGCCAAGUAGCCGAGUGAUGUGCCAGACCUAGGAAUUGAGUGACAGCAACUAGCUCUGCUCUCAGUACCAAGGGGUCCUCUUAUUAGGGGGAAGCUGAGGUUCCUACCGGCGGCUUUAUCCAAAGCCCUAACUAGUACGGCCGGGAGAAAAGGAUCGGCAUUCAGGUGAGCGAAUCGUGUGGUUGUGGACGUAAGGAAAGUAAAGGUUUAAGUAACGAGACCAAUAGAACAAAACCGCUAAACACGAAACCACAAAACCAAAGGUGCGAUAGACGACAAAUCACAAAACUAGAGGGACACUGCAGUGAUAUACUAAGGGGAGGGAAGGUGGGGAGAAGAAAUGACGUCAAGUCCGCAUGGCCCUUAUGGGCUGGGCCACACACGUGCUACAAUGGCAAUUACAAUGGGAAGCAAGGCUGUAAGGAGGAGCGAAUCCGGAAAGAUUGCCUCAGUUCGGAUUGUUCUCUGCAACUCGGGAACAUGAAGUUGGAAUCGCUAGUAAUCAAGAUCACAUGCGCGGUUCAAUAUUGUACCCGUGCUCAGUGACAACCAUAAGAGACGCGUAACACACCAAUGGAUUGGGUUUUCUCGGACCACACAUCGGAACAAUGAUCACCCAGCACUUCUGUGUAACACUAGUCACACAAAGACUUUUGGUGUUCUUAUUGACGCAUACCACGGUGGGGUCUUCGACUGGGGUGAAGUCGUAACAAGGUAGCCGUAGGGGAGCCUGUGGCUG